rnacentral:lncRNA from 1 species
AAGGAAUGAACUAUAUGGCAGCAUUGAGGUGCAGUGCCUUGCAUAAUUGGCUACAGUGUAAUUCAUGGUGUUAAGGUCGGAAGUCGUGGUGGUGGUGAUGCAGUGGACGACCUAGAGGCUGAUGCUUGUUGUUAGUGGUGGUGGUAAGGCCGCCGGGUGCACUUGCAUUAUAUUGCAGGCCAGAUAUGCAACAUUGGUGCAGUGUGAGCAGGUCUCUCGUGCAGAACGGACCACAUCCCCCCACCACACAACACAACAGCGAAACACCUACAACAACAGUACAACUAUGCAGGACAAACGGGACAACGGAGGAAGAAUGAACGAUAUGGCAGCAUUGAGGUGCAGUGCCUUGCAUAAUUGGCUACAGUGUAAUUCAUGGUGUUAAGGUCGGAAGUCGUGGUGGUGGUGAUGCAGUGGACGACCUAGAGGCUGAUGCUUGUUGUUAGUGGUGGUGGUAAGGCCGCCAGGUGCACUUGCAUUAUAUUGCAGGCCAGAUAUGCAACAUUGGUGCAGUGUGAGCAGGUCUCUCGUGCAGAACGGACCACAUCCCCCCACCACAACAGCGACCAACUUUAUAAGACGGGACAACAGAGGAAGAAUGAACUAUAUGGCAGCAUUGAGGUGCAGUGCCUUGCAUAAUUGGCUACAGUGUAAUUCAUGGUGUUAAGGUCGGAAGUCGUGGUGGUGGUGAUGCAGUGGACGACCCAGAGGCUGAUGCUUGUUGUUAGUGGUGAUGGUAAGGCCGCCAGGUGCACUUGCAUUAUAUUGCAGGCCAGAUAUGCAACAUUGGUGCAGUGUGAGCAGGUCUCUCGUGCAGAACGGACCACAUCCACACAACACAACAACAGCGACCAACUUUAUAAGACGGGACAACGGAGGAAGAAUGAACGAUAUGGCAGUAUUGAGGUGCAGUGCCUUGCAUAAUUGGCUACAGUGUAAUUCAUGGUGUUAAGGUCGGAAGUCGUGGUGGUGGUGAUGCAGUGGACGACCUAGAGGCUGAUGCUUGUUGUUAGUGGUGGUGGUAAGGCCGCCAGGUGCACUUGCAUUAUAUUGCAGGCCAGAUAUGCAACAUUGGUGCAGUGUGAGCAGGUCUCUCGUGCAGAACGGACCACAUCCCCCCACCACAACAGCGACCAACUUUAUAAGACGGGACAACAGAGGAAGAAUGAACUAUAUGGCAGCAUAGAGGUGCAGUGCCUGGCAUAAUUGGCUACAGUGUAAUUCAUGGUGUUAAGGUCGGAAGUCGUGGUGGUGGUGAUGCAGUGGACGACCUAGAGGCUGAUGCUUGUUGUUAGUGAUGGUAAGACCGCCAGGUGCACUUGCAUUAUAUUGCAGACCAGAUAUGCAACAUUGGUGCAGUGUGAGCAGGUCUCUCGUGCAGAACGGACCACCUCCACAUAACACAACAGCAACCAACUUUAUAAGUGUAAUGCAGAGUUAUGCAGUACAGUGGUUUACUUAGGAAAGGAAAUACACUGAUUGACUGCAUGUUCAUCACCAGGUCUUGUAUCUGGUCCUGGGAACACCAAGCAACUCUCCCACAUUUGCUAUUGAAAACUUUGUGGCUCGUAUGAAAGGAGGAAUGCAGCAAAGAUUUGGCCACAACCAAUGCCUCUCCUACCUGCCUCCUCCCACUUGACUCCAUAAAUUGAAUAAAUCCCCAUAAAUCCCCAUUGAAAUUAUAUUGUUAACGUCAAUUAUUCUGAUAUAUGACAAGUUAUUUAAUCUACAGUAUUUCACUUACAAACUAAAUCAUAACAAUAAAACGGACGUUGCAAAAUAACUAACAAAUUCUAUUACAGAAUCGGACACCUACUAUGCAUGUUACCCAGGUAUAGUUCCUCCUUUACCCUGAUUGAUUACACGAGUCCAAGCGGCAGCCAAUCACAAGCUGUGGUUUUCUACGUUAUUCAUUAUCUAUCUGUACUCAUCAAUCUAUAUAUCCCAUUUUCAUUAUUUUAAACCUAUAAGUAUAUCCAUUUUAUAUAUCUCUUCUCUCAGUACACCCUCCCAGCUUGUCUACCCGCCUUCCCCCCUCCCCCUCCUCCCUGCUUCCCCUUCCUUCACUGCAGCCUUGGGUCAUAAACCACUCCUGGGAAAACAUUACAUUUCUUGCCCAUCUGCCAUUGAAAACUUGGUAGCUCGUAUGAAAGGAAGAAUGCAGUAAAGAUUUCGCCAGAACCAAUGUCUCUACCCUUCCCGCCUUCCUGUUGCUGUUCGUACACGUGGUAUUUGACUUUGUUUUAUCGGGUAGAAUGAAUACAAACUACAGAACGAGUCCAAACUUACAGGUCAAUAUUAAGAACUUGUGUAGAUUUUCUUAAUUAUUUAAUACUUACGAAUUAAUUGCCAAUCACAGCCUCUCCUGUAUGUAUGGGCGUUUCUCACUCGCUGUAUUUGCGUUAUUUUUUGUUAGUAUUGUAAUUUUAUUGUAAAUUUUGUUGUUGUAAAGUGUAGUAAUUUAUUAAUCGAUUUAUUUUUACUAUCUUUCCCUGUUGUGUCUAUUUCAUUACCUGUCUGUCAUAUUAUGUCUAUCAUGAAUCAUUAUGUAUAUAUUUCGAUAUAUUCUCAUCACUCUAUAUCUGGAUCCAUAUAAUUGUAUAUAUUUUUUCAUUUCUCAGCAAUAAAUCUGUUUUGUAUGUGAGGCGACGGUCACCAAUAAAACGUCACCUCCCUCU